AUUAAUGUGUUGUUGUUGUUGCAGCUGAAGAAGUGAGCUACAAUGCUGUCACUCCUGACAGUGGUGUCCAUGAGACCUUCAAUGCACUCUCCCCUGAAGAACAGGAAAAACAGAGAGAAGAAUGGAAGUCUGAACUAAUCAAGACUGAGGAGGAAAUCCAGACCCUGCGGCAGGUUUUGGGCUCUAAAGUAAAACAUGCACAGGAUCUCAAGCGUAGACUUGGAAUUACUGUCUGGCGUGAGUUUACUGAGGAUUUCAACAAUUCCAUGAAAACAGUCCGUGAAUCUCAGACCACUCAAUAUGUCCAAAGUUUACCUGUGUAAGUACCAUUUUACAAAUUUUAGGUUGGUUUAUGAAAGGAAUGCAUUUUAGGUGGCCAGGAU